GCGUGAUUGGUGAAGGGGUUAACACGGUAGAUUGUGGCUCUAUUACGCGCAGGUUCGAAUCCUGUAUCACGCCCCA
rnacentral:tRNA from 1 species